AGGCUUAAAGAACGAGGGGAAGACAUACUCAACAUGUUGGAGUUCAGAAAAAAAAAAGAUUGGAUCACUUUGCAUGAAAAAUUGCAUGCUAUGAGAAUUAAAUGACAAAUUAUUGAGCAUAAGUUAUGUAGAUUAUGUUUGUAGUAUAUUAUUGACGACAUUGAUGAUGUAUUUUGCAUUUUGUAUGCCAGCAAGCAUGAUUCUAAUCUUAUUAUAAAUUAUCAUGAGAUUUGCAGUGGGGGAAAUUAGAGAAAGGAUCACCAAGGAGAUUUUCCCAUAUCUUCCUGGAACAUUGAUUACAUGAAUUUAACGACAAAAGUUUAGCAUUUUCACACAAAAAAGUAUCAGUUAAAGAUAUCACUGGUUUCGGUUUCCGUAUGAUCUAUCUCGGUUUCUUACAAUUUGUUUGGUGAAUUGUACCACUUGUUGAGCAACCUUAAACCUUGGUAAAUUAACCUAAUUAUACUAACUCAACAUUGUCGUGUUGCUUACACUAAGUGGUAGGAGUGGACAAAAAAACUGAAUCAAACCAAACAAAACCAAAGUAUAUGUCUAAACUAUGUGGUUCAAAAUUUUAUCAACGCACAUGAUUCGGUUUGGUUUUAAAAUGAACUAAACCAAAAAAUCAAAGUGUUUUUUAAUUCGAUUAAUAAAAAUAUAAUACUAAUAUUAAGAUUGAAUACAUUUAACCAUUUAAUCUAAAUAAAUAAACAUAAUUUUAUACAUUUUAUUUCUAAAUGAAUAGAAUAAAGACAAUUAAAAAUAAAAUAAAAGAAUAUGAAUAUGAAUAUAAAUCACAUACAUUAACAACAAAAUCAAAAAUUAAUUAUGAUAAUUAUUUUACGUUUGAAGAUAAUUACAUAAACUUAUUAGAUUUCAUCUUCUAUAUUUUUACUGUGAUGUUUGGCUUCACGCUCAAAUAUGAAAAAAACAAAUUUAGUGUCAAAUGAUAUUUGUUUAUGUUUUUAUAAAUUAUAUUUAUGUAACUAAAUUAAAACAAUAUUAAAAAUCAAUUCGACUGAAUAGAACAAACACAAACAAACCAAAUUAAACUGAUACAAACUAAACCGAAUGAAAACCAAAUCAAAUAUGUCUUAUUUUUACAAAUUUUCUAUUGAGUUUCAAUGUGUUUUGAAUUGAACAGACUUUUUAAGUUGGAUGUAAUCAUUUGCAGUAUGCUGAUAAAAAUAGUAUAAUCUCAUCAAUACAAUUAAUAAACUAAUUGAUAUAUCAGUUAAUGAUUCAUAAAUCAUAUAAAAUUAGUAUAUGAUAUUCAUAUAUAAAAUUAUCAUUUUAAUAAACUAAAUGUCAUUCUAAAUGUUUUCCUAAAAAAUGUUAAUUGUAUAAUCAAUUCAUAUAUAAAAUUAUCAUUUACAUAAUCUAAAUGCUAUUUUUAAUGUUUUCUAAAAUUUUUGACUAAAUAAUAAAAAGUAUACAAAAGUAUGCCAAUCAAAUCAUUGCCUUCAUUUUCAUUUUCAUUUCCAUUUCAGUUUUAUAGUGACAGCUGUUGUUUUGCCUUGGUUGGUUCACGUGACCCAAAAAAAAUUAUCGUGAAAAAUUAGCCCCACGGUCUAAGCGUAUAAUAAAUUCAAUUCAUGAUUUUGGUUCUUAAGUAUCAGUCAGUGAAGAACAACGUAUAUAUGAUCAAACUAAUGAACGUAUGAUCAAACUAAAAUAAAAUCUUACAGUUAGGUUGUUGAUAAAUUUUGUAUGAUUGUGGAAUGGAUCAAUAAGAAAUUUAACUCGGCAUUAAAAACAUGUUUUGUGAGAUCAUGCGAAAUCAGCCAGUUAUUCGAGUGAAUAGCUAACCAUAUUCAUCAUGAUCACUUACUUUCAGUUAAACCAACUCAAAUAUUUUUAUUGAAAAUAUAAAAUUGUAAAAUAAGAAAGUAACAAUAACCAAGAAUUCAUUUCAGGGAAUUAUAGAAAAUUUGAUUAUUGUAUUUACCUAUUUAUAUUUGUAUAUUUUUGAGUUAUUCCGGGUCUAAUCUCCAAAAAAAUUUGUGUUUUAUUACUUACGAAUUUUAAAUAUUUAUUUAUUUAUAAUUUUAAAUAUUUAAUUAUUGUGUACAAUAAUAAUAAACAUACUUAUAUCUAGAUUAAAAAUAUAUUCAAAAGAUAUGUAAAAUAUAUUAUGUUUUACUUAAAUUUUGAAUUAGUUAAUUGACCAUUGAUUUUCUAAAGAUAUUUGUGAUAGAUUUAAUGCUUGUAAAAUAUAUGUUUUGAUAUAUUUUUCUAUUAAAAUAAAAUUUCAAGGUUAGUCCAUUAAAAAUAUUACACAAUACACAUGAAAAAAUUGUGUUAUUUUGUCUUUUUUUGAAACACGUGUUAUUAUGUCUUAAUAAGAAAAAUUAUGAUGGAAAUUUAUAAAUUAUAUUGUUAUAAAUGUAAUCCCUAACAAAUAAUUCAAAACAAAUCUUAAAAAUAUAAUUUAGCUAUAAGCUAUGUUACCUAUAUCAUAAUUCGAAAUAUAUAGAAAUGAUAUAUAGAAUUGACAUAAAUGGGAAUUUAUAACAUGAUAACAAAGAACAUUUAGAAACAAUCAAAAAAAUAAAUAAAAUGUUUGACAAUAUGAAUAUAUAGUUUGACCAUAUUUAUUUGACAUGCUUACAAAAUGUUUACACUGAAACUUUCCACAGUCAAUGUUGAUUUAUGGUGUGUUGGAUAGAUAUAAUAGGUUUUUUUUUGGGCAAGGAUAGAUAUAAUAGGUUGGAAUCGGAUAUAUAUAGGUUUACAUUGCAAAUCAUUUAUAUAUAGGUUUUAUAUAAAUAAUAACGGGUAUAUUUAUAAAUAAAAUAUGUUAUAUUAGUAGAUUAUUUACGGUUUUCUUACAAUGUAUGCAGUUGUUUUAAUAAAAUAGAUUUAAAGAACAAAAACUAAAAAAAUAUGGUGUUUUCAAGAUUUAAAGAUUAAAACAAAAUAGUAACAUGAUCACCGUAUACGAAGUAUUUCAGAUUUAGGCUUUGAGAGAUCACAAAAGUAGAAUAAUCCCAUAGAUUUGAGUAUAAAUUUGUUUAGAUGCGUAUACAAAAUACAAUUAAUAUACGUCUAGAAGACUGAAGUAAGAUUUAUUGUAAAAGUUUUUUUUCUGCCAAAUGGUAUAAACGAAGUAUGCAUCAUAUAUAUUUUUUUAUCUAGAUUCUAAUGCGCCUGUUUUGCUAAUUUUAGAGUCAACUCAAUCAUCUAUAUAUGUUUGUAGACACUAUGUUCUGCCAAGCGAAAUAAGUAAAGUAUAAUUCAUAUUAUUGGUCUGAAAUCUAAAACAUGUUUGGACUCAAUUGUAUUGAUGUACCUUGCGGUCCAGUCUUCCGUUUAUAUAUGUUUGUAGACACUAUGUUCUGGGCGACUCGGAGUGGACUCGUAUCGACCUACCUUGUGGUCAAGUCUUCCUUUUAUCUCCAGUCAUGUACUCAGACAUAGACGGGAAGUUCUACUGACUACACCGGUUCAACUAACUUCACUGCUAAGUACGGUCCGGUGAAUGCCUACGUGAGAUUCCCUCUGUCUAACUCUCACAAGUUGGAUCUCCAACGUCUCAAUAUCCACCAGCUAUUUGUCCAGUCUCCUUCUGGCGAGUCCUUCAUUGUUCUAUGGUGUCUGGACUGCAUGACGAACAAAGGAGAAGCUGUGGAGUGGAAAGACAAAAUGUCCAACCAGAGCGACCUUCUUAUAAAGACUCGCUACAUUAUGGUUUAUAGGCAAGACACCGAGAAAGGUCGUAAAAUUAGUCGUAAAAUUUCUAUUAAUUUGAUGUAAAAAUUAGUCAACCAGACACCUUAAAAUCAGUCGUAAAAUUUCCAUAAAUUAGAUGUAAAAAUAACUGAUGAAUAUUUCGUAAUAGCGAAUGCUUGUGUAAUUAUAUAUAUAUAAUUAUCACAUUAGUUUUUCCAAUACAUAUUAUGCCUCUUCUUCGGCCUCUUCUUAUUUUUCUCAUUGUCAUUUGUUUUUUUUUUAAUUAUAUUUUUGCUAAUGUUUUCCUAUUUUUUUACAUAAUUUGUGCUCGAUCGACCACGCCUUAUUAGGCAACAGUAAAUGAGCCACUUGCCACAAACAACAAAGAUCAAUAUUCAAUAAGUCUUAUUAUUUGCUAGUCGUCUGACACUUGGUUUGUUGUUGUAAUAGUUGUCUGAUAAUUUUUAUCUGCCUGAUACAUUAAGAACCAUCUUACAAGAACUGAUGUUAUUGAUAGAGGUGCAAAUGACAUGGUUCAAAGUUACACUGGACAUUUGAAUUUACUGUUCGGCAAAGUCGGAUUAUGUAGAUUUUGCGUAAUUCAAAUUGAGGUAUAUGAUUUAUUUAGGAACCGAACAUUUUGAAUUAGAUCGGUUUGGAUUUAUUUUUUAUUUUAAAUAAAAAUUCUGAAACAGAAUAAAAUUAGAAGAAAAAAAAUGGAAUUGGUUUGGGUUUGAACCUGAAAACCGACAAAACCUGAUAAUCUCAUAAUUAAAUAAAUAUCCAAAAAAUAUCUUGAUGAUUCAGUUUCUAGUAAUUUUUAGUUAUAAAUUAUGUUUUAUACAAAAAGCUAUUUUUAAAUAAAAAACAUAUUUUAGGUAAAUGAACUAUGUUUCAAAUUGUUUGAUUUAGAAAACUAAAAAACCAUUCAAAAUUAUGUAAUUUGUGUUUGGUUUCCUUUUUCAGUUCGAUACCGAUACAAUUUUUAGAAAAUAUAUCUAGACCUAGUUCAAAUGCUUACUUGGCAAGAGACUUUAAACAUGAUAAUGUUUAGUCUAUGUCUUGGGCGGCUGUAGACCCACCGUCUAUUAAAACACAAUUAAUUAUCUUUUUUUUUAUCAAAAAAUAAUUAUCUUCUUUUAGGUCUCUCAUUAAAAUGAGAAUCAAGUCCUCACUAAGAAACCAACAUUUAAAUUGUUUUAUAUUAAAAACAAAUAUAUUAAAAUACUUACGCAUCACAUCCGAGCUCGAGCCAGAAGACCAAGUUGCAACGCCAACGAGCCACUUGCCACAAACAACAAAGAACAAUAUUUAAUAUAUCUUAGAUAAAUUUAUAUGCACAAAAUAUGUAUCGACAAAUAUAUAAUGAUUAGAUUAUUUUCUUGGUCAAACCAAAUGGAAUAUCUUUCUAUUGAUCUGUCGGGUUUGUAUUAUGUGUAUGUUACAAUUCAUUGCCUCACUGAAACCAAUCAGCUUUUGAGAAUUUUUACUAAACUUUUUAAAUGUGUGAGAUUUAUAUACACAAUUUGUUUGAUAAACAUGCUUUAUUUUCUCUUUUUUUUUUAAUCUAGGAAGGUCGUAUAUUUCUGAAAUAUCAUAAUAUUUAUUGCAGUGAAUUAACUAGUAAAUAGACGUAAAGACCCCACAACUCUCAAUUGGUUCAGAGUAAAUGUGAAAAAUGUACAAAUUUAUCUUAUUCAAAUGGAAGUACAAAUAAGAACUACCCAUUCGAUUAUAACUAAUUUACAACCUUAUGCCACUGAAGUAAUUAAAUAAACAUUUCUUUAAAUAAUCUUUGUCUUUUUCGAGUAUUAAAUUAUUUUCUAAAGUAAUUAUAACUAAUAAAGAUUUCCUUAACAAUAAUGUACAUAAUAUAACUUUUCUCACUUUACAUGCCAAUUCAUCUAUCAUCAUUAUAUAUUAAACAUAAUUUUAACUGCAAAGAGAGUAAUGUCUUUAAUCGACACCACUGUAAAUUAUAUUACAUUCAACUUCACCUUUUCAACAAAACGGUUUUCCACUAUAUAUUAAUCAUCACCCUUAUCUGAUUUAACCUGCACCAAACGCAAGAUUGUAGUAACUUUAUGAGUAAUGAAACUCAUAGAGUAAUAUAAUCUAACAAUCAUUUUUCAUGACAUUUUAACUCAUUUUAAUCACACAAAAAAUCAACUGUUAUUAACCAACUUAAAGUAAUUUACGAGAUGUUACACUUCGGAAAUCAAUUAUAGAUAUAACCAAUAACUCUAAAAUCAGCUAAUUUGUUUAUGAAGUUUAUAUUUUCCCUUGAACGGGGGUAACAACAAAUGUAAAUAUGAUAAUUAUAACCAAUAAAAAAUAAACACAAUAUUCUAACAAACAACUGAAAAAUCUUAACAUUUCUUAUUUCUUAGGUUUCAACACAUCACAAUCCCCUAUACAUUAUUUGAGGAUCAUUUGAAAAAUUGUAACUUCAAUUUUGUAUUAAUUACCAAAUGAACCGGCUGAUGUGUCAUCCCGAAAUUUUCUUUUAAUGCUUAUGUGUCAUUUUUAUAAUGACUUUGGAUAAACCUUAGUCUAACAAUUUAUUUUCUAGAGAAAUUAGUUAACUUAACAUAAAACAGUCGGACGCUUUCCACUUCAUACGACAUUAAUAGCAUUUAAUGAUAAGAUGUACUGUGUAAUCACCUUCAUCGCAUAUACUCAGUAAAAGGAAGUAAAGGUCAUCUCACAAACACAUGACUAAUCUGAGUUUUGCAGAGUGAUUGAGGUUAUAGAACCGUGUAACCUUCAUCUUUACGACAGUGUAAUCACUUCAAUUGUUGGUCUUUGUCAUCUUUAUAUUUGCUAUACAUAAAUUAUUAUCCUUUCCUCGCAUAAACCAUCAUUUUUUUGUUAAAGGUCGCAUAAACCAUCAUACUUCACUUUUAAGACAUGUAACUCUUCGUAUUUUGAUUAUUAAUUCAAAACCAAGAUAUGCGAGUUAUGGUGUUCAAAAAAAAGUGAGGGUUUAUGUACAUAAACAUGACUGAUCUAUAUUAUGCAAAAUCACACGUAGAUCUAUAUUAUGACUUCCUUAGAAUUAUUUAAAAUCAAGCAAAUCAAUCACACGUAGAUCUUUAAGCAAAAAAAAAGAAAGAAAAUCACACGUAGAUCUAUAUUAUGACUUCCUUAGAAUUAUUUACCACGAAAAACCUCUGUUAUAUAUUAUUUUAUUUGUUCUGUCCAAAUACAUGCUUUAAUGGUGUCAAGCAUCUCAGAGCUUAUAUAGUUCUACUUCCAAGUACAUGAUCUAUUAGAUCUUAUAUAUCAUGAUAAGACCUUCAUGAUCAUUCAGCAUUUUACUGUUCAUGCUGAAUUAUAGUAAACUUUAGCUCAUGAUUAACUGUUAAGAUAGUGAAUUUCGUGUAGCUACACGAUAAACAGAAGCCUGUUUUUUUUCAUAAUUCAUUCCACUGGUAUUUUUCAGUAUUACAAAGAAAAUUUCCACCUAAUCGUUUAUGGAAGUAACAUUAGGACAUUUGCUAUAUGCAAGUUUAGUAUUUCACGCUGAAGUCAAUAUUGUAUUUAAUCAUAGCGAUAAAAAGUCUAUAAUUUGGUUUACGUCUUGGGCAGAAAGUAUAUAUGAUUCCAGUCAUAACCACAUCCUCUAAAUUAGGUAAGUAGAUAGUUCACAAAGCUUAGUACAUUAAUUAAGAAACUAUAUUUUUGAAUUAUAUAAGUCGUGUUUAAUGUUUUUUAUUUUUGUCGGGGAUUUAUUUAGAUAUUACAAUUAUGAGAAAGAUUACAAAGACGAUUCGAUUACCGACAAUACUACAUGUCUUAUGAGGAUCUACGCCUAACUGCUUCAUUUGAGCCGUCCUAUGAAGAUCACGUCUGACCGGAUUUACUUGCACCAUGUUGAAAAACUCUUGUAAGCCUUUCUUCCGUAAUCGCAUAAUUGUUGAAUAAGUCGUGUUUAAUGUUAUAUGGUUAUAAUUCCUAAUUACCAUAUGACUUCAAAAGUUCAACGAAGACAUGUAGACAAAUCAUUUAACCAAAGGUGUAACAAAUAAUGUUAUAGUGAUUAUUUUUAAUGACGUUAUGUUUCACUGAUUAUUUUUAAACAAACUGAUGUAAUGUAAAUUAUGUUUUUCUACAAUUAGUGGUACAUAAUUUUAUAAUAUUUCAUCAUGCGCAAAUCGUAGGUCUCAUCCUAGUGUUCUAUAUAUUAAAGCAAGCAAACGUGAUAUGCCUGGUUAACAUGUGUGGGUUUAGUCAUAAAUGAAAACAAAAGCCCACAAAUAAUUAAAGAUUAAUUCAAUUAUAUUGUAAUGUUCAUUUUUAUUUCAAAUUUUAAUCCUAUAUUAUAUAUGUUAAAUUUUGGACAUAAUGAAAAAUAAAUAUAUUAUUUUACAUAAAUCAAACGUAAUGUAUAAUAUUUAAAAAAAACUACAAACUCAUAGUUGUUUCUAUGACAUUAUUUCAAUUGUGUUAAUUUUUUUAUAAAGACGAUUAAGUAUAAAAAUUAUAUUUAGUCAAUAUACAGAAUAUAAAAUGACAAUAUUCAAAUGUCAUAAUAACAUAGAACUUUGUGCUCAAAUUAAUAAAUAUAUAGUAUAUCAUGUUGUAAGAACAUAAAAUUACAACACAAAAAAUUAAAACAAACGCAGGCACGUGCGGAUCAAACUCUAGUAAGUAAUUAAGAUACUAGUGACUGGUAUACAAUUUCUUGAAACACAACUGUCUAUAUCCUU